AUUGAACGCUGGCGGCAGGCCUAACACAUGCAAGUCGAACGGUAACAGGAAGCAGCUUGCUGCUUCGCUGACGAGUGGCGGACGGGUGAGUCAUGUCUGGGAAACUGCCUGAUGGAGGGGGAUAACUACUGGAAACGGUAGCUAAUACCGCAUAACGUCGCAAGACCAAAGAGGGGGACCUUAGGGCCUCUUGCCAGCGGAUGUGCCCAGAUGGGAUUAGCUAGUAGGUGGGGUAACGGCUCACCUAGGCGACGAUCCCUAGCUGGUCUGAGAGGAUGACCAGCCACACUGGAGCUGAGACACGGCCCAGACUCCUACGGAAGGCAGCAGUGGGGAAUAUUGCAAAAUGGGCGCAAGCCUGAUGCAGCCAUGCCGCGUGUAUGAAGAAGGCCUUCGGGUUGUAAAGUACUUUCAGCGGGGAGGAAGGGGUAAAGUUAAUACCUUGGCUCAUUGACGUUACCCGCAGAAGAAGCACCGGCUAACUCCGUG
rnacentral:rRNA from 1 species